UUGAAAACCGUGACUACGGGUCCGUCUACUGUCACGGAAUGCGCCGUAAACUUCUUUAAACCAUCUGUUGUUUUGUCUAUACUGAUGUACAACAUGUGUACCUGGCAUUUGUGUUAUAUGCGUGCGUGUCUGGUAAUUUGUUUGGUGGAUUAUCACAGCUUGAGCAAAAAAAAUUGCCAACAAGGUGUCGACGAAUGAAGUAUUACUUCGACAAUGCCUUUCCACAGAAGGACUAUUAAAAAUUAGUGGCUCACAGAGACUGUCGGUGCGGAUGUCAACAACGACGCCAUCAAGCGUUCGUUUCGCAAGCUACUUAGAAAUAAACCAAUUAAGAUCAGGGCAGCUAUCGAUGCGAAUGACAACUAGUGAAUCAGCCAUAAUGAGCGAAUUGGGUUGCUUGCUAAACGUACCAGACGAGCGAAACGACCGCUGGCAAUCUUUCAAUCACCUAAUAAUAUGCUCUGGUCCGAGAUAAAAACUCUGCCAGCUGGUCGCGUUCUUCGGAACUAUGCGUCCGUGAGUAAGCUGAACGCCAAAGAUGCAUGGUUGCGCAACAGGGAAAAAAGCCUGUCAACCAUUUGGCGCUACAGCUUAUCUGGACUGCUCGGUAAAGAAGACAACAGAUGAUCCCGGUUUGUCAUGGAACGUGUCUUAACAGCCUGAUGGUUAACCUAUAGCCGAUAUGAAAAACGCUGAACUUAGCGAUUUAGUUGGUCACUUAACUUAGCUAUUCAAAAAAACUGUCAGAGGUUUCCUAGAUUAAGUUUUCUAGUCUUCAUGUACGUUUCUUGAAGUUCUCAGCAUUCAGGCAGUCCAAUAUGUGCUCAUUCCAAGCUCUGAAUCGUCUGAUGAUAUCGACGCUCGCUGAUUCGUCCCUGUUUUCACAGUAUCUCAUCUCUCGAACGAAUGCGGUCAAUGGCAUGUAAGACUGACAUUACGGGUCACGGCGACGCGUUUGCUGUCAUUAUCAACGACGUCAGCUUCUGUGCGUUUUAUAGAGGAAGGAUUACCGAGCACUGAUAUUCUGGGGUGUUAUUACCGGUGGCGAUGAAAACUUAGGAACACAUCUCAACUGAUAAUAGGUAACGACUGAAAUUACGAUAACCGCGGACAUCUGCCAGAUUAGAAGGAGACCGUGGCAGCGUGCUAGUAGAAAUGAGAAAUGCAUUUAACUUCGCGAUAUAGGAAUGUACGCAUGAAGAGAAACGCGAAACGGAAAAUAACACAGGUAACGGUUCCGGAAAUAAAAUACUGGAAGGCUUUUAUCAGAACUCGAUUUUCGAAAAUAACGAAAUACAAAAAAAACGUGUAUCGCCGUACUGUAGACUUUAGGAAUAAAUUACAGACACAAGAUAAAUGUUUCACUUUUCUACUAAUAUUGGUAAACACGACAUUUUGUUUUGUUCUUCCUAUGGCGCUAUGAUCCCCCAAGAUGUCACUGACAACGUUUACAGGAAGCAAUUUUAUAAUAACUGCGCAAACU
rnacentral:lncRNA from 1 species